UUACAGCUUGUUUGGUUCAAUGUAAUAGGUAAACCAUUACAAUUCUAUUCAGUGGGCCCACCACAAACAGCAGUUUGGUUGAGUGGAAUACCCUGUGACGGGUGUAUUCCAUUACAGCCUUAUGCAGAGAAUAGAGAGCAUUUCUAUUCCCUCUCCUCCCCACCGAAUGGUCAUUCGUUGUUUGGAAAAUCAUUCAUCUCCCCAAUUUCUCACCUUCCUUCUUUCCUUUCUUCCUUAAACUCCAACCAGUAAAACUCCUCUCACUUAUCUCCGUCUGGUAAACAUUUUCCUCUAUUCUUUUGUUCCUUUCAUUUUCCUCUCUACAAAUUUUUCUUAGCCUAAAAUUUUUCUUCUCUUUUUGUUAUCCAUUUGAGUAGAUUUUGCUUCCUUCGCCUUCAUCGGAGUCUUCUUCAGGUAAAUCUUUUCACUUUUCCGUUGUUUCUUUUGUUUUCCUCUCUGCCAGUUUAAGUAAAGUUUGUUGUGGGUUUUUUUUUUCCUCAUUUGAUAGCUUACUUAAAUGGUCAGUCAUUGCUAAGAACAACACUAGAGAGAUUAAAAAGCUUCAUUUUUAAUUAAAAAAUCCCCUCUUUUCCUUUGAAAGUAAUCAUCCAUUCUUUAGAGAGGAGUACUCAUUUUGUUGUUGCUUCUAAAGUUUUUGACCUGUUAGCUCUAAAAAUUUGUAUUUUGAAGUACCAUGUAGUGUAGGAUUACAUUGGGUUUGGCAACCAUUGAUGAAUGAAUUUGAAUAGAAAGUUCAAAAUUUACCUCUAGUUGACAUGCCGAAAAGGGUUAGAAUGACCACAAUAUCAUGCAUUUUUGUUUCUAAUUCAAACUCUAAUGAUUGUUAGGCUAUGUGCUACUCUAUUAUCAUGUUUGAGAGUUUUAAGAGUGUGUAUGUUAAUGGAUUGUAAAUAUAAGGGGUACUUGUUUAUCGUGGGAAUCAGAUAACUGGAGUGUUAAGGCAAUCUGAAAAAAGACCACUGGAACUGGUAGGAUGAGGUAUCUUCGCCACGUUCCUCGUAGGUUCAAGAUUGGUCUCAGAGAAAGUACGAAAUUGCUAAUUUCAUUAUAUAAACAUAUUCUGUUCUAGUUUAAGGGCUUUUCCCCCUUUCAUUUUGUUAAAUAUUUGUGUUGGAUCAUGAUACUAGGUACUGAAGUAGCACCGAAGAAGAAGGUUGCAGCAGCUUUGGCUUAAGUUGGCUAUGAGGUUGUUUUGAUGAAUCCAUCUAUUUUAGUAAAAGUUUUAUGGGAACAUUACAUGAGAAAUGUCAUUUAUUAUAUUGGAUGCUUUUAAAUAUUUGUAGUUUCUAUUUUCAUGUAGCUGCUUAGGCUAUUGUUGCUUGACACUUAAUUACUGGAUAUUUUUUGGGUUGAAGUUAAUCAUGUGCUUGUUUCGGUUUUGAUGCCCUUCAUCUUGUUUCAAAUUAUAGUCUUCUUUAUUCGAGUAUUGUUGUUUGAAGUAUUUUCUACAUUUUGUGAGUUACAUUCUAGAAAAGUAUAAUCUUUGCUUGGCACUUACCAUAAUAAAAUUGGAGGUAUCAGUCCUUUUUAUUA
rnacentral:lncRNA from 1 species